UAUAAGUACUUACUAUCAAAUAAUACAUAUGCCAAAGUAAAAUACUUUGAAAACAGUAGUAGAUUUUUAAAAGUAUUAUUAUUAUUAGAUUGAACCAUGUCUUUAUUUAAAACAUCAGUGAAAAAGGUAGCUAUGAAGGACCCAGGAUGUUUCAUUCUUCUUAGAAAAAAACCUCAAAACACUCAAGGCACCUGCAGUACUUGUAAACGCAAGAGAAACAGGCCAUUUUUUCAGUUUUGUUGUGACUUCCUAACAGAAUCUUUGUUUUUGGGGAUUUUGGCAAAUCAUUUGACUCAUCCUUGAGUCUACCACAAGGGUAAGGGUCCAAGUGCAAACACAGAAAACAGAUGAUUAACUUAAGGAGGAAGGAGGGGAGCCCUCGUGGUUGCCCUCCGUUGACGUGCCUGUGCUUUUGUGUGACGUUUAGAGAAUAUUAAAACAUGGAGGCGGAUGGAACUCAAAGGACAGACCUGAGACAGAGCCUGCAGAGAACUUCGUCUUGCUAUUGUCACGGAGCAUGACGAAGGUGACAGAGCCUACUUGACGUGCACUUGUGGAAAGUGGUGACUGUUGCCCUCAUCACCAUUGCCUCAAAAAAUAACCCCUCCAUGGCAUAGUUUUACAAAAGCCUGACUUGUUCAUCACGGCAUCCCCAAAUCUUACUGCAGUGCUUAGCACAGAGUAGGCCUCGCUAAAUAUUUGUUGAAUGUAUGAAUAUAUGACUCAGCUUUUAUGCAGUUAUUUGGUUCAAGUAUAUUGCAAUAAUACCGAAACAGCUAGCUAAGCUGCAAAGUGCGUUAUUUUUCGUUAUGGUGACGUGGCAGAUUGGUUUUGUUGGCUGUGUGGAACAACACAUCUACCGUCAUGGACUUUUAUCAACAUGCAGGCAGCCUCUUCACAAGAGGAAGAUACCUUGCUCUUCAACUAAACCUUGUCUGUGUCACAGUUUUCCCAAGUAAAGAGCCUUUAGAUGGGAGGAAGGGAAGGAAAGAUAGGUGAAAAGAGAGACAGGUUGACACACCUGGAUAAACCAUCACUGCGACCCUAUAAAUGGUUUAUACUUUGUGUACAAAAAGGAAGAGUUCAGGCUUUGUUUUCUUUUGCACAAUUUAUUUUUUUCUGUCAUAUUUUGACCUGCCUUUAGGAAGCACUCUGAAGUUCAGGCGGAUCUAGCUUCUGCAACUUGCCAUUUUGUGCACUGGGACAAGCAAUCUUGGGCUUCAGUUCUUCAAAUGUAAGAUGAGAGUACUCAAGUGGGACAGGGAAGGGGAAGAGGCCCAGCAAAGGUGAGUUUCCAAGUGAAGUCCCGACCUGAUCCUGCUGGGGAGCUCCAGAGUCAGUGAGCCUGCAGCGGUUAGUCAUGGCUGGAAAGGGGUAGAAGCUGGGGCGGAAAACAGAACUAGGAAGAGGGGUCUGAGGGCAUCCAACAGAAUCCCUACAGUGUCAGCUUCAACCUGCUGUGAAGGUCAGAUGAUACGUGCAUAUAAAGCCCUUAGGAAAGAAUCUGGCGCAGAGUAAACACAUACUGGAUGUUUGCCAGUAUAAUUAAUACUUUUAUUAUCUUCUCCACAAUAUUAGAGUCAUUGUUCCCCACGCCUUCCUUCCAAGCAGAGGUUAUAAGCCCAAAUGCUUUCCAGGUAGUAUAAAUUAGAGAAACUGCUGGAAGACUAGGAAGAGGUGGGACAGGAUCAACAGGGGCACACCUGCACCAUGCCAUCAAAAAUAAGGCGUUUAAAAUCAAGUAUUUACAAAACAUUCAAAGUCACUCAAAGUCAAACUGAACCAAACUGAAACAAAAAACAGGUAUGGCUGGUGGACUGCCAGUCUGCCAUGGCUUGUUCUGGACCUUUCUCAUGGUCUCCAUCCUGUAAGGCAUUCCAGUUCUCAGCAGGAAAGGACGGUGUUUGGCCACACACUCGCUGAGGAGUGCUGCCUGCCAGGCUUCCUGGGGAGCUAGGAGAUCCUGGACGGAGUUUCACCCGGUGGUCCGCCCUCUCUGCCCUGGCCGCCCUGGCCGCCCCAGCUUCUGGUGAACUCCUUCCCCUCGUGAGGGCUCUGAACUUUAUGUUUGUGUAGGAGCUUUGGUCUGCCCUGCUUAGUGAGUUCUCCAGUCUGAACUAGGCUCCAUGGUGACACUGGUGACACUAUACAAUGGAGAAUGGGGGUUUGUUCUUAUUAAUUCAAGGAAAUUUAUUGAGCACUAUCAAGUUCUAUACUAGGAGCUAGGGAUCCUAAUGAGAAACAGGCUCUGUGCAUGUGUGUGUGUGUGAGAGAGAAUUUCUUUCUAAUUAAAAUGUGAUUUCGAAGGUCCCCUUGUUUCCCUUCACUUCCCUCUUAGGGAAUACAAAGUUAGAGAGGAAGAAAUUGCUUAUCUAUCUCUCUCACUCUAUCUCGGGCCAUUUGACUCAGUCCUUUCCUAGUAACUCUCAACAUACCCUCCAUCCUCAUAUUGAUGGUCGCCCUGCCAGACUGACCAUUCAACCAUUUACCUGCUCUGUGUGCCGCUCUAUGCUGAGGGGUUGAAGGUGGGGCUUUGUGUGCAGGAGAAAAAAUAAGACACAGUUCUGGGGAAACAGAACAUGCCUUCAGAGAGCCACCAGAGACCUAGGACAAUGUAUACUGAAAUGCUAACCUGUACAGAUGGGACUACAGGUACUAGAGGUGGAGAGAAGAGAGACAAGAGAAGAAUGUGACAUCACAGAAAAUUCUAUGGUUGUGACCUGGCACUACUCUCACCCAAUUUGUACAUUAUAUUUCUUUUAUUAUUUCUAUUUUAUUCUACAUUAAUAUCCCUUUCAGGAUUAAAAUUUAAUAUGUGUUCAUCACAGAAAAUUUGAAAGGAAACAAAAACAAAAAAGAAAUUAAAAACUACCCCUAAUUGUAUUAGCCAGAUGUAGCCAUGAUGAACAUUUUGGCAUUUUUCCCUCUAGGUACACACAUUUUUACUUUACUGAGACAAUUCUAUUUUGAAACUUGCCUUUUUUUUUCAUUUAAUCUUUAUCCUUGAACUUUUUCCCAUAUAAUUAAGUACUCUCAUGCAGCAUGCUUCUUAAUGGCUAUGUAAUAUUUUGUCACAUUGACAUACUAUAAUUUAUUUAAGCAAAUUCUCAUUUCCUCCCCAAGAUCUGUCUCCUUGCCUCAUAUUCCAACUAAAGCCAGACUUUUAAAUCUACCCUUAGGGUCCCAGAAUCCAGCAAUAGAUGCUUUGCUCUAUUCCUUCGCAAGAACUUCAGAGAACUACAAGAGAGACAACUGCCAUGUCCUAUUUCCACAGUCACUGAAGUGACAACUCAGCUUGAGGCUGCUACAGAGAUGGGCCAAAAGCUGAGGCAGGGCAACUGGGAGCAGGGCUUAAAAUUAAGGGAUUUCCAGUGGUCAGAUAGAAGGCAGCAUCAGCAUUAAACCCUUGUCUUACAGGCUUCUUACAGAAAGCAAAAGAUACCAGCUCAACGCUCGGGAUUGUUUUGAAAGGCAAAGCAAAUGGCACAUUUGAGAACUGAGCUUGGCUCCAUUUGUUCAAGGGAAGGUGGGCGGCUUCAGCUGCCUAGGAAACAGGUUUUGAAUAUGUGCUUCCUGGAAUUCUUUAUGCUUUUCUCCUGAAAGGGUUCCUAGUGUUCCUGAUAAAGGAUUCUUAUCCUUUGGCAUUUGCAGGCAGCCUAGUUUUGGCAACAUUCUGUUCAAUUCUUUAUGUUAGCGAGCUCUUGUAAAGCCCUGUGUUACCUCAGAGCUAAGCCAGAAUUCUUCCUCCUCCUUCCCUCUUUCUCCUUCCCCCUCUCUGCCUCCCUCCCACCUACCAGCCUUGUGCAUACUUUUAUUUUAUUUCCAGUCUGAAAGCUGCAACUCUGGCACAGUGAGGUGGAGCUACACACAGAGCUUCUGCUUCAGUGUUUCAGAUGCUGCUUAGGAGAGUGAAUAGCAGAUGCAAGACAUGGAUGCUGUGUUGGAAGUGAAACAAACAUCAUUAUUGGUUGAAUGUUGACCGUGACACAGGACACAUGGUCAAAACCUCCAAGACCUUGCACUAAAAGAAGCAAAAUGUACAUGUCAAGAGUCCUGUCCUUCUCAGCAAAGGUUAGCUCAGCACUUGACCAGAUUGCGGAAGCAGAACUUCUGUAGAAAGGUUGGGACUAUGUAUCUUUUGGGAAAGAUGAGAAGGAGAAAAAGAACUGUCAUCCUAAGAGAAUAUUCCAGCAUAGGAUUCUCACCAUAAUCCUAUUGGCGCAGCAUGCUGGUAGUGGAAGGUGAGCCAAGUGCCAUUUGAAGAUGGAUUCCAAGGAGAGGAUGGCCACUGGACAUGUGAGGUCACAGAUUUUGAAUGUGGGAAGGCGCACAGAUGGAAUCUCAGAGCUGUCUCAGAGGUUCACUUGAGGAGAGCACAGUGGGAGAGAAGAUGAACCGAAGAACCUCCAGGUUCUGGGGGACAAGGAAGUGUGGACGGGAAUCACCAAGGGUUACAGAGGCUGGAACUCUGAGUCUCUUGGACUUUGAAGACAGCUGGGAUGCGCCUUUGCAAUCUCUUUUAUUCAUUUGUAACUCCUGUUUCCCUUUCAUGGUCUGAUAUGCAAAUCUUUCCCCCUCCUUUCAUCAGAAGUUUCAUUACCUAAAACUGGCCUUCUGUAGCAGUCCUGGGUCCCCUUGGUUCUGUCUUCGUGGGUUUGUCUGCCCCAGGUUGGCUGCCGGGGUGCAUUGCCUUAUUUGGCUCUUUCAUCACAUAAUAAGAAAUGUGUACAUCUGUACAUACAUAGGUUUUAGCCUUCGAAUCAUGUAGAUAAAGCCCACAUCUCAACCUGCAAGGUAGGCAGUAGUGGAGUUGAUGAGAUCUAAGGGUUAUCUCCAUCAUUUCCAGAUUGAAAUUGUUCGUUGCCCAUAGCUUUCUUCCUGAAAAGUUCAAGGACACUUGCAACUCUGGCAUCCCCAAGCAAUUGCUGCCAACUUCAUUAAAUGCUUGCUCUUUAACACUUGCACAGACUAAUUUGGCUGUGUAACCUCAUACAACAACCAUAUCAGAUAUCCGAUGUAACAUUAGAAUCUGGGAGGAAAACUCAGAAUGCCUUAUUAGAGGCAAAUUUGUCAAUAUGUUGCUCAGUAUAUUAAGCAGCUUUAAUACAGCCGGAGGAGCAUGGAUUUGGAAUCAGGAAGAACUGAGUGCACAGUGCAAUUCUGCUGCUCACUCUUUAGCGACCUUUGGCUUUGGGAGGAUUGGGUUAGGUAACAAUGUUACAAUGCCUGGUACAGCCUGUCAUACCUGGUUGUUACAUAGUAAUUGUUACGACCUUCAUUCCUUUUCCUGGGAGCCAAUCCUACAUUGUAUUUCCUGAGACUCCUUGGAAACUUCAAAGAAACACAUUUUCAUCUCUUCAAUUGGUAUAUGAUUUCCUGGCUAAGAAGUAUAUCCUGUUAUCCAGGACACCUGCCUCUUUGUGCAUUUCCUCAGCAGUGUAAUUACUGACUCUGGGCCCCUUGGUGUGAUUUUUCUUCUUUGGGCCUGCAGUCGGUCCGCUGCCCCGCUGCACACAUCACCAGCUCCUGUGCUUAAUCAUCUGUGUCACUCUCAUGACUUUGAAUUAACUGCAGUGGAAUAAACAAAAGAUUGCUUGGCGUCCGGCCAAGGCUGAGUGAGCAUUUCUAAUGGGGGCUGAGCUAGAGCUGCCAAACUCUCCAACUUGCAAACUGAAGAAAGAAAGUAAAUGCCACUUUUUGAUAAUGUUGAAAGUUUAGAGGAAGGCCAAAAAAAUAGAAUGAUUUUAGUUUUUAUUUAAUGUAUAUUUACAGUCAAAAAGGCUUUAUUGUUUCAUAUAUUUAGCGUCUUACAUUUGUCUUGUGGCACCUUACAAGUGCUGCGUCUAAUAUGGUUUGAUGUUCAGUCCUGUUAACAUAGAGAUUAAACUAGCCAAAAAAAAAAGGUGACGUCAACAAAAACUGAACUGAUAACCAACGUAAUCUGAAACUCAUAGAAUGCAGGAAAAAGCACUUAAUUCACCUCUCGCUUGGUAUUGGACUCAGUUCUAGCUCCACUCUGCCGGAUGGUGUGAUGUGGUGGUUGAGAACAGAGACUCCAGAACCAGGUUUAUGGAUUCAAACCCCGGCUCUACCAUUUAUCCGUCGUGUGACUUUGGGCAAGUGAUGUAACCUCUUUGUAUUUCAGUUGCCUCGUCUGUAAAAUGGAAUUAAUAAUACAACCUACUUCAUAGGGUGGUGGUGAAAAUUAAAUAUAAUAAUGUGUGGAAGACACUUUGAACAGUGCCUGGCGCGCCUUCAGUUUUAUAUGUAAGAUUGCCAUUAUGGUCAAACCUUUGAUAAAAUACUAAGCUCAGAAAGAAUCAUUAGCUUCCAUUCCACGACUGAACUACUCUAGUUGUGGAACAUUUCUUUUCUUAUUUUUGUUAAUUAAUUUAACCAAUAUUAUUGAUAAUUUAGAAUAAUCCAAGCACUGUUCUAGGUGAACAGAGGCCAAUAAUUCCAGGAAAGUCUGUGCUUUUAGCAUUCAGAAUCUGUCUCCUGGGGCCGGCCUUGCGGCCAAGUGGUUAAGUUCACACGCUCCACUUCAGUGGCCCAGGGUUUCGCUGGUUUGGAUCCUGGGCGUGGACCUAGCGCCACUCAUCAAGCC